ACACAAUCACGUUCUUAAAUGGAAAUGCGGGGCUUUAAACAAAUCUUACAUCUCUCCCGUUCCAUUCGCCUAAAACUCUGCAAUCAGGCACAUGUUCCGCUCCUUCUAAAACAGGAGCUUUUUUGGAAGGGUUUUCAGGCGCAACAGUCCCAUUUUAAUCAUUUACCUGAAAGCAAUGUUUUGCCUUUUUAUCUCUGCCGCGUGUCUGUGUGUUGUCAUCUUCUCCAAUGCGACUAUUCUCUUUCUAUUUACAGGACGACUCGAGUCUAGUGUUCAUUUUAAUCCGGGACUACAUGACUAAAAGGGCCUGCAAGGCUGAGUGGCUUGCCGAGGCGAAGACCACGACUUCUAAGAGGACACGGCAGGAGUGAGUCGACGCGUCUCAAAUAUACUGUCACAUUGUGCGCGUGCAAAUACGUUCCUCCGCUCACUGAAAGUCUGUUGUUCAUGACUCUGCAAGCUCCAUUCAAUUCCAUUAUUUUAUGUGCACUCGUCUUUUAAAAGAUUAUGUAUGAGCAUGGUUUUCUCCGUGUCUGUGUGUGUUAAAUCCAACAGAAAGCUCUACAUUUAGUUAUCGUCUGGGUUAUAUUGUACGUCCCUUUAGAUUCUAGUUAAAGAAACAAACUUUAUAAAAAAAAGCUUUCAAGGCUAAAAAAAAAAAAAAAAAAGCAAAAUGAAGCAUCCACCAGCCGAGGUUCAUGUGUCGAUGAUUUGAAAUUUUCAUCUGACAAAUCAAAAGACUUUUUAGGACUUAAGCACAGUUUCAUCAGGCUAAAUUGAUCUGUUUUACUGUGAGACAUUUUUGGAGUGUUUCCAUGCUGGCAGUGCAUAAAUGGCAGUAAACAAAAGUAAAGACACGCAUCUGACAGCAGAUGUGUUUCAGCCGGAGACUUUUCACAGUGUGCAUCUUAACCUCCACGCCACAGGCCGGGGUGCCACUUUCUUUUAAUACAGUUUUUGUUGCUGCAGAAUUAAACAGGGGAUAAAGUUAACUUCAUUAGGUGAAGAACAUCUUUUUUUUUUUUUUCAGAGCAGUCUUGUUCCACAGGUGAGCCCUCCCAGGCCCUGACUUUCCUUUGGGGCAGCUGCUUAGUUUUAUCCCACUUGAUUGCUCUCUUGGCCACGACACAACACAGCUUAACUCCCGCUCACACACGCACACACACACACACACACACACACACACACACACACACACACACACACACACACACACACACACACACACACACA